rnacentral:rRNA from 1 species
GAUGAACGCUGGCGAGAUGCCUUACACAUGCAAGUCGUACGAGGGUUUUUACUCAAGUGGCGGACGGGUGAGUAACACGUAAGAAUUUGCCUCUAGGAGGGGGAUAACAACUGGAAACGGUUGCUAAUACCCCAUAUGCUUUCGAGUGAAAUGGUUUUCCGCCUAGAGAGAAGCUUGCGGCUGAUUAGCUUGUUGGUAAGGUAAUGGCUUACCAAGGCGACGAUCAGUAUCUGGUUUGAGAGGACGAUCAGACACACUGGAACUGAGACACGGUCCAGACUCCUACGGGAGGCAGCAGUGGGGAAUUUUCCGCAAUGGGCGAAAGCCUGACGGAGCAAUCUCGCGUGAGGGAUGACGGCCUAUGGGUUGUAAACCUACUUUUUC